CUACGGGACGCUGCAGUGGGGAAUAUUGCACAAUGGGCGCAAGCCUGAUGCAGCCAUGCCGCGUGUAUGAAGAAGGCCUUCGGGUUGUAAAGUACUUUCAGCGGGGAGGAAGGGAGUAAAGUUAAUACCUUUGCUCAUUGACGUUACCCGCAGAAGAAGCACCGGCUAACUCCGUGCCAGCAGCCGCGGUAAUACGGAGGGUGCAAGCGUUAAUCGGAAUUACUGGGCGUAAAGCGCACGCAGGCGGUUUGUUAAGUCAAAUGUGAAAUCCCCGGGCUCAACCUGGGAACUGCAUCUGAUACUGGCAAGCUUGAGUCUCGUAGAGGGGGGUAGAAUUCCAGGUGUAGCGGUGAAAUGCGUAGAGAUCUGGAGGAAUACCGGUGGCGAAGGCGGCCCCCUGGACGAAGACUGACGCUCAGGUGCGAAAGCGUGGGGAGCAAACAGGAUUAGAUACUCGAGUAGUC
rnacentral:rRNA from 1 species